UACGUAGGAGGCGAGCGUUAUCCGGAAUGACUGGGCGUAAAGGGUGCGUAGGUGGUUUGACAAGUUGGUAGCGUAACUCCGAGGCUCAACCUCGGCACUACUACCAAAACUGUUGGACUUGAGUGCAGGAGGGGCAAUUGGAAUUCCUAGUGUAGCGGUGGAAUGCGCAGAUAUUAGGAGGAACACCGGUGGCGAAGGCGAAUUGCUGGACUGUAACUGACACUGAGGCACGAAAGCGUGGGGAGCAA
rnacentral:rRNA from 1 species